rnacentral:rRNA from 1 species
GACGAACGCUGGCGGCGUGCUUAACACAUGCAAGUCGAGCGGUAAGGCCCUUUCGGGGGGUACACGAGCGGCGAACGGGUGAGUAACACGUGGGUGACCUGCCCUCAGCUCUGGGAUAAGCCUGGGAAACCGGGUCUAAUACCGGAUAUGACUCCAUGACGCAUGUUGUGGGGUGGAAAGCCUUGUGCGGCUGAGGAUGGGCCCGCGGCCUAUCAGCUUGUUGGUGGGGUGAUGGCCUACCAAGGCGACGACGGGUAGCCGGCCUGAGAGGGCGACCGGCCACACUGGGACUGAGACACGGCCCAGACUCCUACGGGAGGCAGCAGUGGGGAAUCUUGCGCAAUGGGCGAAAGCCUGACGCAGCGACGCCGCGUGAGGGAUGACGGCCU